CGGGCCGUCACUCGACCACUGCGCCCCGCCCCCGCUCCCGGCACCCCCACCCCCACCCGCCGUCUCGCGGGGCCCCAGACCCAGGCGAGGGGGGCGGGGCCCCAGAGGCCGCUCUCACCUCACGGUAGUUUGUUUGAAGCCGAGCCGCAAAGUGCGGUCUGCGCGCCGAUUGGCGGAGUCCCGCCACGUGAUGGCCGGAUGACCCCACCCACAACCUCUCUGGUUACCUGGGCACUCCUAACGCCCAGAGAGCCCCAGGGACCGAGUUCAUCUCCUCUAGAAUCGUCUGUUCCUUGAGAGGCCGGGGUACCCACCGUCCCCAAGACGUGUCCUCUCGCAGACGCCUGGGCCGGCCGAUGUCUCCUGCGCUGAAGUGACCGCUCCAGCCCGUUUUUGCUCCCCUAAGCACUUUUUUAAAGUGGAAAAAAGAACAUCAGGCUUGGCGGGGGGGGGGGGGGGGGCGGCGGCGGUGAUCUGGGAAGCCCGGAACCGGAUCGCAUAUUACCCAGUUUCUUUAAUAAAGAAGGAAAUUACGUUUAAAAGGACGAAUUGUGUGGGCUUACAUUUUUUAAUCAGAAUUGUCAGCUGGAAUUCUUGGAAAGAAGGAAACGUUGGAGUAAUUUGCGUCCAAAAGAUAGGAAACCGAUCAGAUGUCCCUCAUUUGAGAGGCCCAGGGUGCCUACUGAAUAUAUAUUGAGUAUGGAGUUAUACAUUCAUUGUGUACCUCAGGAAGAAUUUUCAAAGUGGUGCCAGUGGUUGCUUCUGUGGAGAACAACUGGGAGCAGGAAUUUAAGAUGCAGUAGUCCAGAGGUGACAAACCGGUGGUCUCCGAUGUUUGCUUUGGACCAGAUUUUUUUUUUGGGGGGCCAACAUAAGAAUGUGGAACAACUGGAACUCAAUAGGAAAACCACUUGGCAGUAUCUUUUAAAGAUCACUGAGCUUCUGUGGUUUCCAAAGAGAAUCACCCCGUCAAAUGGACAGCCGCUUCAUACUAUUUGAGACGAGCAGAAAUAUUCUACUCCGUUGUGAAAGGGCACUUGUUAUACCCGACUCUGGAGAUCGCACGAAGGAGUUCAAGGUUCCCCUGGCUUCGUGAACUCUGAAGGCAGAGGCAGUGGUAAAAAUGUGUUCAGCCGACAUGGUUUGAGGGAUGCCCCAUUCGUAACCUACAGGAGGACGCUGUUUCCUUUGGUUAGACAUUGCCCCACAUCUGUGGUUUGGAGUGUUGGCCAGAAUAACAACUAAAAGCCAAAAAAAAAAAGUUCUCUUAAUGCUACUUUUACAUUAUUCAGAUACAUUUGACUCUGGAGCAACAUGGGUUUGAACUACAGGGGUCCACCUAUAUGCAUAUUUUUUUCGAUACACUAGAGUACUGUAAACAUAUUUUCUCUUCCAUAUGAUUUUUUAAAUUUUCUUUUCUCUAGCUUGAUUAUAAGAGUACAGUAUAUAAUACAUAUAACAUACAAAAUUUGUGUUAAUUGGCUGUUCAUGUGACUGGUAAGGCUUCUGCAACAAUAGGCUAUUAGUUGUUAAGUUUUUGGGGAGUCAAAAGUUAUGGAUGGAUUUUCAACUGCAUGUGAGUUAGCUCCCCUAACCCCUGUGUUGUUCAGGGUCUUUUGAAAUAAAUGUGUUUUUCUGAGUCCUUUCUCAGAAGCAUUAUAACUGAUGAAGACUUCACUUUGAUGUAAUUUGCAUUAAGGAAAAAACAGGAGAGGGAACCUAAUGUGACAUUUCAUUAUAGUCAAAUAAUCUAAAGUGUUAUUCCCAUCUGAAUGUCUUCUCAUUUUCCUUUCCAUUCAGAGAAACCAGAUACAGCAUUAUUAGCAAAAACAGAUGAGCCUGACUCUUGACUCCAUUUAAAAUUUUUCACAUUUCUAUAAAUUUGAAAUUAUUUUAAAAUAAAAAAAUUUUGAAAGCUAAUGAAAGAUUUAUGUAGAGAUACAUUUCUUCUGGACAUAUUCCAAAGCCUGGGAAAAUUUGAGAAGGAAAUGAAAUUAACUGCACUAAUGCUAAUAAUAUUUUAAACUACUCAAUUUUGCAUGUUCGGAAGGGCAUAGCCUAACAGAGACUUAAAGACAUUUAAAAGGUUAUUUGGUUCUACCAGCAUUUUUCUUAAAUUGAAGUAAAAUUCAUAUAA